rnacentral:rRNA from 1 species
UACGAAGGGGGCUAGCGUUGCUCGGAAUCACUGGGCGUAAAGCGCACGUAGGCGGAUCGCUAAGUCAGGGGUGAAAUCCUGGAGCUCAACUCCAGAACUGCCUUUGAUACUGGAGAGCUCGAGUCCGGAAGAGGUGAGUGGAACUCCGAGUGUAGAGGUGAAAUUCGUAGAUAUUCGGAAGAACACCAGUGGCGAAGGCGGCUCACUGGUCCGGUACUGACGCUGAUGUGCGAAAGCGUGGGGAGCAAACAGG